UUAAAUGAAUUGACGGGGCCCGCACAAGCGGAGGAACAUGUGGUUAAUUCGAUGAUACGCGAGGAACCUUACCUGGGCUUAAAUGGGGAGUGACAGCUGUCGAAAGAUGGUUUUCUUCGGACACUCUUCAAGGUGCUGCAUGGUUGUCGUCAGCUCGUGCCGUGAGGUGUCGGGUUAAGUCCCAUAACGAGCGCAACCCUUACCGUUAGUUACCAUCAGGUUAAGCUGGGGACUCUAGCGGGACUGCCACCGUAAGGUGAGAGGAAGUGGGGAUGACGUCAAAUCAGCACGGCCCUUAUGUCCAGGGCUACACACGUGUUACAAUGGCCAGUACAAAGGGCAGCUACCGGGUGACCGGAUGCUAAUCUCUAAAGCUGGUCUCAGUUCGGAUCGAAGUCUGCAACCCGACUUCGUGAAGCUGGAUUCGCUAGUAAUCGCGCAUCAGCCAUGGCGCGGUGAAUACGUUCCCGGGCCUU
rnacentral:rRNA from 1 species